UACGAAGGGUGCAAGCGUUACUCGGAAUUACUGGGCGUAAAGCGUGCGUAGGUGGUUCGUUAAGUCUGAUGUGAAAGCCCCGGGCUCAACCUGGGAACUGCAUUGGAUCCUGGCGAUCUGGAGUGCGGUAGAGGGUGGCGGAAUUCCCGGUGUAGCAGUGAAAUGCGUAGAUAUCGGGAGGAACAUCCGUGGCGAAGGCGGCCACCUGGACCAGCACUGACACUGAGGCACGAAAGCGUGGGGAGCAAACAGG
rnacentral:rRNA from 1 species